rfam:Triticum aestivum genome assembly, contig: Triticum_aestivum_CS42_TGACv1_scaffold_591849_7BS
CUAGUACUCCUUCCGUUCGAAAAAGCUUGUCCCUCAAAUGGAUGUAUCUAGCACCAAAUUAGUGCUAGAUACAUCUAUUUGAGGAACAAGCUUGGGACAAGCUUUUCCGGAAGGAGGGAGUAGUAA